GAGGGUGUAGCGCAAAUGAUAGAGCACGUGGCUAGCACGCACGAGGUCCUGGGUUCAAUCCCCAGCACCUCCU
rnacentral:tRNA from 1 species